UAGCUUCGAUCAAGCUCUCUCUCGCUUCCAUGAUGUGUCGCCGCACGCAUCUGACUGUGUCUUUAUCCGGGCAGAGACAUUCCUUUCUUCCUUGACCGGCUCCACAAAGGUACGAGUCAGGCAUUGGUAUGAUGCACUUUCCCAUCAGUUUUCUUUCCAAGUCAUCGUUUGUUUGAACAGGAAUCUCACAUUCAGGGAUAGAUGCUUGGUGAUUAGACCCAACAGGAACUUGCUUCCUAGGAGGUUGAUUCAUCAGGGAAGUAUAAACAUCCUCCAUCGGGGAAAGUGGUCUCCAUGUGAGGUCUGAUCCAGA
rnacentral:lncRNA from 1 species